rnacentral:lncRNA from 1 species
CCCAUCGAACUAUGAAUUCAAAGUCAUGAAAUAACAGGUUUAAUAAUAAUUACAUGGUUCAUCGAUCACCUAGUUAUAAAAAUCUAGCCUAUCAUGAUAAAAAUAACGAAAUCUAUCAAGUUUUGAAUAAAAUACAUCACCGGGUUAUCAAAACUUGAAGAAAUCCUGAAGAAAUCUUGUAAAUCUUCGCGUCAAUCCUUGUUCUUGCCUUCAAAUCCUCUCCAAAAUGAAUGUUUUUGCCUCCCAAUUCGUUUCUUCUGGCUUCUGGACAUUUUUUGCUAUUUAAAUCCGUCGAAAUUAGGUUACCAAAGGAGUUGCAAUCAUAUAAGGAAACUGCAAAAAUCGGGCACAGAUUAUACCUAUGCGAC